rnacentral:rRNA from 1 species
GUGGGGAAUAUUGGACAAUGGGCGAAAGCCUGAUCCAGCCAUGCCGCGUGUGUGAAGAAGGUCUUCGGAUUGUAAAGCACUUUAAGUUGGGAGGAAGGGCAGUAAGUUAAUACCUUGCUGUUUUGACGUUACCGACAGAAUAAGCACCGGCUAACUUCGUGCCAGCAGCCGCGGUAAUACGAAGGGUGCAAGCGUUAAUCGGAAUUACUGGGCGUAAAGCGCGCGUAGGUGGUUUUGUAAGUUGGAGGUGAAAUCCGCGGGCUCAACCUGGGAACUGCCUCCAAAACUGCAUGACUAGAGUACGGUAGAGGGUAGUGGAAUUUCCUGUGUAGCGGUGAAAUGCGUAGAUAUAGGAAGGAACACCAGUGGCGAAGGCGACUACCUGGACUGAUACUGACACUGAGGUGCGAAAGCGUGGGGAGCAAACAGGAUUAGAUACCCGGGUAGUCC